rnacentral:lncRNA from 1 species
CGGACCAAUCACAUUUAUGUUUCAUCUGAUGACAUCAAGGAGACUGGUUAUACGUACAUUCUUCCCAAAAAUGUGCUGAAGAAGUUCAUCUGCAUAUCUGAUCUGCGCGCCCAAGUGAGUAACCAUGGCCCACACCUGGACCACAGUGUGAGCCCACUUAGUCUGUGCCUGAAAUUCACUUGAUAGUCCAAAAACUUUGAGGUGCUGACUUCAGAAUUCAUGGAUGAAUGAAUAACUUGAAAAAGACAGCACAAGCAAGAGGUAUCAAAACAUUUCAUAAAGCCAGGGCCAUUAAGAGGAAAUAUUACUGGGGUAGAAUUUAUUGCAGAGAGUAACAAAUGUAUUCAGACAUGUAUAUAGUUGACAUGGGGUUGGGAUUUAGCUCAGUGGUAGAGCACUUGCCUAGUAAGCGCAAGGCCCUGGGUUCAGUUCUCGGCUCCGAAAAAAAAAAAAAAAAAA